AUUGAACGCUGGCGGCAUGCCUUACACAUGCAAGUCGAACGGCAGCAUGGAGAGCUUGCUCUCUGAUGGCGAGUGGCGAACGGGUGAGUAAUGCAUCGGAACGUACCGUGUAAUGGGGGAUAACGUAGCGAAAGUUACGCUAAUACCGCAUACGACCUGAGGGUGAAAGCAGGGGAUCGCAAGACCUUGCGUUAUACGAGCGGCCGAUGUCAGAUUAGCUAGUUGGUGAGGUAAAGGCUCACCAAGGCGACGAUCUGUAGCGGGUCUGAGAGGAUGAUCCGCCACACUGGGACUGAGACACGGCCCAGACUCCUACGGGAGGCAGCAGUGGGGAAUUUUGGACAAUGGGGGCAACCCUGAUCCAGCCAUGCCGCGUGAGUGAAGAAGGCCUUCGGGCUGUAAAGCUCUUUCGGCCGGGAAGAAAUCGCACAGGCUAAUACUCUGUGUGGAUGACGGUACCUGAGAAGAAAGCCCCGGCUAACUACGUGCCAGCCGCCGCGGUAA
rnacentral:rRNA from 1 species